CCCAGGUCAGGCGGGGCUACCCGCUGAAUUUAAGCAUAU
rnacentral:rRNA from 2 species